AACUUUCAGCAACGGAUCUCUUGGCUCUGGCAUCGAUGAAGGACGCAGCGAAAUGCGAUAAGUAAUGUGAAUUGCAGAAUUCAGUGAAUCAUCGAAUCUUUGAACGCACAUUGCGCCCCUUGGUAUUCCGGGGGGCAUGCCUGUUCGAGCGUCAUUAUCACCCCUCAAGCUCAGCUUGGUGUUGGGGCCUGCCCGUCACAGGGCAGCCCUUAAAAUCAGUGGCGGUGCCAUCUGGCUCUACGCGUAGUAAUACUCCUCGCGACAGAGUCCCGGUGGUGUCCUGCCAGAACCCCCUAUACUUUUAAUGAUUGACCUCGGAUCAGGUAGGGAUACCCGCUGAACUUAAGCAUAUCAAUAAGCGGAGGCU
rnacentral:misc_RNA from 1 species